AGUUACGUGGCCGAGAGGCGAGGCGGAGGCUCACAAGCCUUUUACGGUGGUUCGAAUCCAUCCGUAGCUG
rnacentral:tRNA from 1 species